AUUGAACGCUGGCGGCAUGCCUUACACAUGCAAGUCGAACGGCAGCACGGGAGCAAUCCUGGUGGCGAGUGGCGAACGGGUGAGUAAAGUACCGGAACGUGCCCAGUCGUGGGGGAUAACGUAGCGAAAGUUACGCUAAUACCGCAUACGAGCUAUGGAUGAAAGCGGGGGAUCGCAAGACCUCGCGCGAUUGGAGCCGCCGAUAUCAGAUUACGUAGUUGGUGGGGUAAAGGCCCACCAAGCCGACGAUCUGUAGCUGUGUCUGAGAGGACGACCAGCCACACUGGGACUGAGACACGGCCCAGACUCCUACGGGAGGCAGCAGUGGGGAAUUUUGGACAAUGGGCGAAAGCCUGAUCCAGCCAUGCCGCGUGCAGGAUGAAGGCCUUCGGGUUGUAAACUGCUUUUGUACGGAACGAAAAGGACUGCCCUAAUACGGUGGUCCCAUGACGGUACCGUAAGAAUAAGCACCGGCUAACUACGUGCCAGCCGCCGCCGUAA
rnacentral:rRNA from 1 species